rnacentral:rRNA from 1 species
UACGUAGGGUGCAAGCGUUGUCCGGAAUUAUUGGGCGUAAAGAGCUCGUAGGCGGUUUGUUGCGUCGGCUGUGAAAUCCCGAGGCUCAACCUCGGGUCUGCAGUCGAUACGAGCAAACUAGAGUGUUGCAGGGGAGACUGGAAUUCCUGGUGUAGCGGUGAAAUGCGCAGAUAUCAGGAGGAACACCGGUGGCGAAGGCGGCCCACUGGAUCGGUACUGACGC